CUCCAUUUGUUUCUCUUCGAAAUCCGGCGUCGUUCCCAAGCAGGGCGGAAGAAAGUUGGGUCUCUGUUAGCUCUUUCCCAGCGGCGGAUUUGAACGUUAUCGGAAUGGAUCCCGACGCCGUCGCUAAGGCAUUCGUCGAUCAUUAUUACUCCACCUUCGACGCCAAUCGAGCCGGGCUUGGUAAUCUCUACCAAGACAAUUCCAUGUUGACGUUUGAAGGUCAGAAGAUCCAAGGCUCACCUAAUAUCGUAGCCAAGCUCUCUAGCCUCCCCUUCCAGCAGUGCAAGCACUCCGUUAGCACCGUUGAUUGCCAGCCUUCCGGUCCCACUGGUGGCAUGCUCGUCUUUGUCAGCGGCAAUCUUCAACUCGCUGGAGAACAACAUGCUCUCAAAUUCAGUCAGAUGUUCCAUUUGAUGCCAACCCCACAGGGAAGCUUCUUUGUUCAGAACGACAUUUUCCGAUUGAACUAUGCCUGAAGUUGAGAGUAAUCCAUGGUAUUGGGAGGCCUGAAAUGUCAGGUUAUUCAACCAGUUUGUUUAUCACCGUUCAGUUUUUAGACAUUUCAAAUUGGAACUUGGAUUAUAUUUUAUUGUGCUUGUGCUUCAAUGUGUG
rnacentral:misc_RNA from 1 species